rnacentral:rRNA from 1 species
GAUGAACGCUGGCGGCAUGCCUAACACAUGCAAGUCGAACGAGACCUUCGGGUCUAGUGGCGCACGGGUGCGUAACGCGUGGGAACCUGCCCUUAGGUUCGGAAUAACUCCCCGAAAGGGGUGCUAAUACCGGAUAAUGUCUUCGGACCAAAGAUUUAUCGCCUUUGGAUGGGCCCGCGUUGGAUUAGCUAGUUGGUAGGGUAAAAGCCUACCAAGGCGACGAUCCAUAGCUGGUCUGAGAGGAUGAUCAGCCACACUGGGACUGGGACACGGCCCAGACUCCUACGGGAGGCAGCAGUGGGGAAUAUUGGACAAUGGGCGAAAGCCUGAUCCAGCAAUGCCGCGUGAGUGAUGAAGGCCUUAGGGUUGUAAAGCUCUUUUACCCGGGAUGAUAAUGACAGUACCGGGAGAAUAAGCUCCGGCUAACUCCGUG